CCUACGGGAGGCAGCAGUGGGGAAUAUUGCACAAUGGGGGAAACCCUGAUGCAGCGACGCCGCGUGAAUGAAGAAGUAUUUCGGCAUGUAAACUUCUAUCGGCAGGGAAGAAAAUAAAGGUAACUUACUAAGAAGCCCCGGCUAACUACGUGCCAGCAGCCUCUGUCAUACGUAGGGGGCAAGCGUUAUCCGGAUUUACUGGGUGUAAAGGGAGCGUAGGCGGUGCAGCAAGCCAGAUGUGAAAGCCCGGGGCUUAAUUCCGGGACUGCCUUUGAAAAUGUUGAACUAGAGUGCAGGAGAGGUAAGUGGAAUUCCUAGUGUAGCGGUGAAAUGAGUAGAUAGUAGGAGGAAAACCAGUGGCGAAGGCGGCUUACUGGACUGUAAAUGACGCUGAGGCUCGAAAGCGUGGGGAGCAAACAGGAUUAGAUACCCGAGUAGUC
rnacentral:rRNA from 1 species